UACAGAGGUCCCAAGCGUUGUUCGGAUUCACUGGGCGUAAAGGGUGCGUAGGCGGUCGGGUAAGUCUGAUGUGAAAUCUCACAGCUUAACUGUGAAACUGCAUUGGAUACUAUCCGGCUAGAGGAAUGGAGGGGAGACUGGAAUACUUGGUGUAGCAGUGAAAUGCGUAGAUAUCGGGAGGAACACCUGUGGCGAAAGCGGCGCACUGGACCACAACUGACGCUGAGGCGCGAAAGCUAGGGGAGCAGACAGG
rnacentral:rRNA from 1 species